GCUCUGGAGGCUGAAGCAGGGGAAUUGCUGUGAGUUCAAGUAAGCAGGGGAUGCAGAGUAAGACACUGUUUCAAGAAGCAAAGGAAAACCCUUGAAGAGGAGAAACGUUGACAACCCCAGCAGAGAAGUCUGGGACAUCAAGUCUCACUCAAACAUGUGGAGACAUGUUUGAUUUUAUUUAAAGAACUCCCAGCCAGUCCACAUAGUUUUUAAAAUUGCAUGUUUUUCUCUCACUUUCUCUCUCUUUCUUUCUCUCUAUUCUUUUUCUUUCUUCUUUCUUUCUUCCUUUCUUUCUUUUCUUCUUCCUCCUUCUCCUCCUCCCUCCUCUUCCUCCUUCUCCUUUUUGAAUGGAUGCCAAAGUCAGAUGGCCACAUCCUGUCCUAUUGCAUUAUAAAGGAUCAAUCCUUGUUCUCACUCAGGAGAAAACUCAGAGCAUGACCCCCAUGUGGAAGUGAUGGAGUUCAGGAACCUGGUAGUGAAAUGGACCAGUGAUAUACGUGGCCGUCCUAGUUUCAAACAUAAUAAAAAUAAAUAAAUAAGUAAAUAAGAACAGAAGCGCUCAUGAAAGUAACAUACUUUAGGGCAGCCAACUGCAGGUAAAUUUGGCUUUCCUUUGAUAGCUACCGAAUAAUAACAGGAUGGUUUCAUUGGUGGCAUUUUUCCCUGGUCUAUUUUUAUUUUUUAUUAUCUUCUGUUGUUUGCUUUUAGUUUUAAAAGUCCUUGCAAAUACGCAACUUAUAAAUCAUGCCGGAAAUGCGUGUAUUAUUUCAUUUGGGGGAAGAAUCAAGUUCUAGAAGGCAAUGCUCACAUUUCACUUAAUUACCAAACAAAGACAUAAUGGACUAUUUUUCUGUAUUCACGAGAGACAGAAGGACUGUCAGUUUGAUUGCCUGUUAAGGUUUCGGUGAAUCACAAUGUUAUUACGCUUUUAAAUCAGAGGAUCGGUUCCUUCCGCUAAGUCUAACAAUACUAGAAAGUGAGAAGGAGGGGGGAAAACACCUCAUCUGGGGCCGUAAUAUUUGCUGAAAAAAAUCCACUUCAAAACAUUAAUCAAAUUUUUCGCCUACUGGGCAACCAUAUGGCAGAGCAGCAUGCGAAUCUCACAAACUUGCUGAUCUCCUGUAACCGGGUGCAAUUAAUUACGCUGGCUGCAUCCAUCUCUUGGAUUUUCGCCUUGUGAAAAAAAAAAAGUAUUUAUUGUAACAGCUUUUACAAAACAAGGGAAUGAAAAUCUCAAUUGAUUAAUGAGAGGAAUGGAAAUAUUUCCGUUAGCAGAUUUAAAAAAAAAAAAGGAUUAAUGCUGUGGAUGGAAAGGCGCCCACCUCAAGCUCACCGUGAGGUGGGUUUGUGUUUUUAUUUUGGACCCCCCAAAAGGUAGAGGAAGAGUGGGCUGAGAAGAUACCCGGAGCUCUGAAAUGCAUAAUUCACUAGCAGGCUUUGGAUCGCAAGUAAUAAAGGCUUAAACUGGGGAAGUAAUAAAGAGAUUGGCUUUACAAGACACUAUCCUGGGAGACAGAAAAGCUUCUUUGAUUUGAAAACACUGAUCUUAAAGGACUCAGUGGGGUGAGGAACAGGACAGCCCUGACAAAGCAGGCAAUGGAGGGAGCUCUUAAAGUAAGCAGGACACCCCGUCCUCAGCUAGUUACGCCUGGAGACUGCUGCACAUCUGGGCAGAUUACGGUUUUAGGGCUGCCCCAUCAAAACAGGUGUCCUGGAGUGUGUUAGGACUGUCCUCACCUACUAACGCAAGGUGCGGACACAGCGUGAAUGUGACCCUUUCCCCGUGGUAUUUAGACUGUGAACUGGGGCAGUCAGAUCCACUUCAAAGAGUGACCGUUAAUAUGUCACUGAGGUAACAGUCCUUCCCUCGUGGAGGACUGAUGGGCCCCGGGCUGGGGUCUGUAGGCCAGCAGGAGCAGUGGUCCUUUGUCUCUCUCCAAACCUGUCCCCUUUCUGUGGAACCCCCAGCCGGGGUGGACAGUUGUGACCUUGUCUUCCCAGCAUUCUUCACUCAGGAGGGUUAAUUCCACACUCUUUAAAGAGUUAGCCCAGGAGGCUGGGUUUAAAAUUCCAAUAAACACCACCUUGAGAAAAUAAGCAGAAUACUAACUUCAACAGAAUUAUACGUGUUUGUAAGACUGAGGACUGGAUCGCAUUUGCAACCAAUGAAGGAAAAAAAACAUAUUAGAGCAAAGCUUAGUAACUCAAGUUACAGGCUGACUUUUCUCUACAGUGACUCCCACAUUUAAACGUGUGCCAGGAAACCAUGUGGAGGGCCUUGUCUUUUGUUUUACUACAAAUGUGAGUGUCUGGUCCAGUGCACGCGAGAACACUUGUGUACUCACUCGUGUGUGGGGAGAGGUAAGGGACAAUGUCCUGCGUCAUCCUCAGGAAUCCAUCUGCCUCUGUUAAUAUAGGAUUUCUCACUGGCCAGGAGCUCACUAGUGAGGCUAGACUUGCCUGAGUGGGGAGCCCAAGGGAUUUUUCCAUUUCCAGCUCUCCAGCUCUGGAAUUACAAACGCAUGCCAUCUCUCCCCCAGAACUUUUUAUGUGAGUUCUGGGAUCGAACUCACGUCUUAACGCUUGUACGGCAAACAUUUUUACCUUCUGAUGUCUCCCUCCAGCACCUGCAAAUGACUUUUGAUAAGACUUCAUUAUUAUUUUAUUAAUGGGUACAUAGUAUACAUGUGGCAAAUAUGAGGAUUCAUGUUUUGUUUUCUUUUGGUUUUAGUGUUUUUUGUGUUGGUUGGUGGUUGUUUGUUUGAGAGAUGAAAUCUUGAAUCACCUAAACUCUCUGGGUGUCUAAGCGAGCAGUAUCUAAAAAAAAAAAAAAAAAAUCACAGUAUUUCAUUCGAGCAACCCAUCCUGUACAGGAUGUAUGUUUAUGUUAACACUCAUGUUUGAAAAUACUGCCAUAGAGGAAAAAGAAUAAUGGUGAACUUUAAGGUAGCAGACGUAUCCAAGCGGCUAAGAGACAUAAAAGCCACAAUGGGUGGCUCCCAAACGCUCCCUGAGCUAGGGGAAUGGCACACUGGUUAGCCUGCCUGCUGCACCAGCAUGGGGACCUGAGCCUGUAGCCAGCAUGAAGGCUGUGGGAGGUGGCACAGAUCUGCAAUCCCAGUGCGGAGAGUGGAGAAGGAUGAAACAGGGGCAUCCCUGGAGCCUGAUGCCCAGCUGGUCUAGCCAAAGAGAUGAGUUCUGGGUCAUGAAAGUCCCGGUUAGUUCAUAGGUAGGUAGGUAAGCAGGCAGGCAGGCAGACAGACAGACAGGCAGACAGGCAGGCAGACAGACAGGCAGACAGAAUGAAAAGUAGGGUGGAGAAAGAUUAAGAAAGACACUUGAUGUCAACCUGUAGCUUCUAUAUGUAUAGCCCCACACGAGCACAUUCAAUUGAACAUGUACACAACACACACGUGCAUGCACACAUGCACACAAAAUAAUAAUAAAGUGAAAAUCUUACUACAAUCCUUUAACAAUGAGAGUCUCUUUACAAUCAAAGAAGAUGCUGUUCUAAAGAAAGCACCGACCAUGGAAGCACGCAAGAAAGUUACCCUGAAAAAAGUCCUUGAUGUCCCAAAGCAAAGAAUAAAUAAUCAAAGGGAAGCAGGCCGGCUGAUUCCGUGAACCGGUGACCCCCGAUUGCACACCUCCACGCACACAGCACCCCUCGGAUGAUCCCCAGGCUCCUCCUACACACAAGGGUUAUUGGCUUAAAAGUUUAAAGAGCUAACAAAAUGUUUUAACGAGAUACAAAUCUCAGAGAUCAUUAAUCAAUAUGCUCAAUGUUAUUUGCGAUAAUUCAUCAUGACGUGAUAUUAAUGGGUUACUGUACCCUUCAGAGGUGAGAUUAAUGCAAAUGAGCCGCCACAAUUAACUUUACUGCUCCCAACUCCCAGGAAUGGACAGAUGAUUAUAAAUGACAACUAUAUGUCAAUUACAAUAUCCAAUAAAGUGAGGCUUGGAGAACAAUCUAUCUCCGUUUAUUGCACUUCCUUGACGUGGCUGCAUUCAGCACAGCCCACUGUUGUCUCUGUGUAACCAUUGUUUGGGGAGGGCAAGGGGCUUUCCUUUUUCACUCUUUCAGUAUCGUACGAAAAGUGCUUCUGAAAUGUCCAGGUAACUGCAUUUUUCUAGAGGAGGAGCGCCACGGGAAACCAGGAACAAAUGCCUUCACCGCCGAGUGUGUUUUAAAGAAGAUGGUGUCCAUCUUGAAACCAUAGCAGCCAGGCCAGCACGGAAACCACCUACCCAGCUGUGUAUAAUAUAUUUACUCAAUUACAACGGGAAGAUGUUAGCCCAGCAUCCUGAAUAGCCUUGCGUUUCACUAAACAAAACUUAACUUGAGGAUCACCACGGGAGGAAACAGGUCAGACUGCAGAAAGUGAGCCUGAGAAGAUUUCAGCGGGAAGAGCCUGAUGUCAGCUUGCACACCUGUGCUGGGGUCAAAGAAGGGGGAUCCUGUAGAAUGCAUGGGUGCAAGACCUGACUUCAGAGCAUUUCAUGAAUGCUCUGUUCCUCUCUGCAUGGAGGACUUGUUUGAGAGGAGCUUCUGGAUGAAGGUGAGCACUCUGUAGUACUGCCAUCUGAAGGUGAGCACUCUGCUGUAGUACCGCCUUCUUGCCCCAGACCCUUUCUCUGAGCAGAGCUACCCAGCCCAGGAGACACCAGCUAUUGAUGAAUUAUGAUCACAUGCUUCUAAUCUGCCACCUCCCCCUAUUCCCCAGGGACUUCUCCCACAUAGCCCGCCUUCCCUGGCAGAUGUUCUCCAAUCACGGACUGCCGUCAGUUAAAGCCUUGUCUCAGGCAGGGCCAAUUUGGGUAGCAUCACUUGGCCCUCCAGGAGCUCCUGUUGGGGUCAGACUGAAGCCAACCUUCAGUGGAAGCCACAUUCUUGUCGGGAAUUCUGCUCUGUGGCCUCUGUCUUCCUUCCCCUUAGGAAGGCAAGUCCACCCAGAACACAGGGGAGCAGCGUGGAGCUCUGCUUCUAGGGACAGACCUGAGAACAGGUAUCGGAAGCAUGUGAGCAGGAAGGCUCUCCCUGUAGUGUCGCUUAGAAAGUGGCCCUUUCUUUGCGGAUCACUGGUGAGACCAAUUCAUCAAGCAGUUGACAAUCACACCGGGAUUUCUUUCUAGCCCCAGAAACAUCUCGAAAGACCCAGAGCAUGGGGUGAGCUACCGGGAGAACACUGUGGAUGGGGGAAGCCAUGGGUUUGCCUGUCCAAGAUCUUUCCUGAGGUGCUUAGUCCGGUGAUGUGAGCAAAGAUGAUGCUGUCCCAGUAGGGAACGGAGACUCCUAGCAUCAUGUACAAAGAGGGCGUUAACACCAGCCUACAUAUGGAACACUAUUACCUGGGUCACUGCUGGUGAUUCACGGGAGGUCUCUGCCCAAUAAAAAGGCCAAGCGUGGUUCUCCCUGAGCUGUUUGUACCAGGAACCAUGGGGAAAAGAGCUCACUGUGACAAGGGCUGCUGUCUUAGUCACCUCUCAUUACUGGGACAAAUAACAAAGCAAACACUGCAAGCCAGAGAGGAUUUAUUUUGGCUCACGGUUUCAGAGGUCUUUGUCCACGGCUGGGUGGUUCUAUUGAUUAUGAACCUAUGGAUGGUGUGGCAUGGAGGCAGCGAUAGGGCCAAGUAGCUCAUUUCAUGGUGGAACAACCAGAGGGGAAACAAAACACUGGAGGGGGCCAGCCAUCAGACAGAACCUUAAAUAGUAUGCCAGCACAGCCUACUCUCACCAAGCGGCCCUCACAUCCUGACGAUCUAAUGUAGCAAGGAAUCCACCAGUAGAUUAAAACAUUGAUGAGGGUAGCAUUUCAUGGUCCAGUCAUCUCUCAAUAGCACAGGGGGACCAGGCAGCAUAUGACUUUCAGGCAAACAUUAGCAGUUGCUAAGCUCGGAAAGGUCUGACGUCAGUAGCCAUCCUGGUUUCCACUAAAAGAGCAUUCUUUGGGGCACGUACCUGCAAUCCCAACUAUUCGGGAGGCUGUGGCAUGAGUUCAAGGCCAACCUGAGGAACUGAGUGAGACCCUGAAUCAAAAUGAGUAACUAAGGCCUGGAGAUGUAGCUCAAAGGUGAGAAUACUUGCUUAGCAUCUGUGAAGCUCUGGGUUCAAUCUACAGAUAAGAGAGAGGGGCUGACACAGUACUGGGGCUGGACAACACCUCAGCCAACCCUGAAACACUGCAACCUACCCGUUCCUGUGCAGACCAGGAGUGAAAACAAUUGUUUUUAACAGUUGAGAGAGAAAGAAAGGAGAUACAAAAGAAGUUGCAAGAAAUUCAAAUGCCAGCAUCUGCAAAUAAAGUCCCCCCCACCCCCCACCCCCGUGCAUGGCCAUACUGGAUCAUUUACCUACUGAUAAGGCUGUUCGUGCAGUGUUGAAGUCAAAAGGAAGGAAGGAGUUGCCACAGCAUCCGCAUGGCUCAGAGCCAACUGCUUCCAUGAUCUGUCUCAUUCUUACAUCCCACAAUGCAUGUUGGGCAAUAACAGCAACCCUGCUGACUUACAUCAUUUGAACUUGGACCUUCCGUGUACAAGAACAAAAGCCACUUUCCUUCCCACCUCCACACCCACAGUGGAUCAGGACCCCACAGGUAAGAAUGCAGUGUCCAGAUGGACUGAUGGAUGGCUUCUCUCGCUGGCUCCUGUGAAGCUAUUGCGUUCUUUGCUGAAUGUCAUGAGAAGGACUUGGUUCAUCUUGGCUGACCACUUGCUAUGGCUCGACCAAACUGAGGAAACGUGGCAAGGCCCCACGGAUGUCGCCAAACCCACAGGCUGUCCCUGCCAGGGAGCAGCGCCUGUCUUUGCAGAGAGCUGCUUGCAGCAUAUGCUUCCUUCUGCCUGAGCUCACACAGAAGCAGAUUGCGCCAGAUCCCUGCUGGCUCUUCUCCCCGCAGCCUGGAUUUACAAGAUGGUGCAUUAAUAGGCCCCGUGUUUGUCCCAGGCAAGGAGUUCUGUGGUGUCCAUAGGAGCUUUGAAUUAAGGACUCCGGGGUUUUCAGGGAAUGGAUCAGAGGGAUGAAAACAUGGGCAGAUAAAGCCAGAACUUGACCCAGAAGAGUGUCAGAAGAGGCUGGCAGGAAAGAAGAGACCUUCAGGAGCUCUCUUAAGUAGUCUCUCAGAAAACUAGAAAAUCAAAAUUAAGAAAGGAUGAGAUUGGAGCACUUGUCUCAACACAAUCUCUGCCAUCUUAAAAAAAAAAAAAAAAGACCCAUUUCUUUAAAAUUACAACCCCACAAGAGCCUAUGAAGAUUUAAACUUGUUUUACUGAACCCAGAGAAGCUGCCUCUCUGUCCUCUGUUAGGAGACUGCAUCCAGAGCUUCACCCUGCCUGCUGACCACACCAGAUUUAACAAGGUUCGCAAAUGAACUAGAGUAAGUUUCCCACAGUGACACAUUAAUAAUAAGUUCCUUAUCCCAUCUAUCCCAAGCCAUGAAUAUGUAAUGUUAGAAAAUGAGUCCUUUUUCACACACAACAGAACCUCAGACGUGAAUAAAUAAAAACUAUCCAUCACGAGUCUGUGAAAAAUUAAUGAGCGUUCAGAGACGCGAGGAAAAAUGGGGACUGAGGAGAGAUGGCCCAAUUCGUAAAAGCAUCGCUUAACUUUCAGAUGGUAAAUAUCCUCGCCCCCGCCCCUUGCCCGGCUGCCAGGUGGGGGUGGGAAAUGGCAGGCUGUCUUCCCAAUGUGCUGAGAUCCACUGCCCCUCUUAAAGUGGCAGCUCUGACAGGGCUACAGAGAGAUCCCUACUUCAAGGGCUUAAACUCCGAGAGUUAAUGUGGCGCCAACCUGGACAGGAGAGCAGGGGCUGAUUUACUUAAUUAUUUAGAAUUCAUAACUAGCUGAGGAUGUGCUCAGCCAGGCUGAGGAAACUGGGAGGAGUGAGAUGACUUUGAAGAUGAAACUUUAGAAAGGUGGGAACUCCUGCUCUUGGCCUCUUCUCCUUCACAGUGGCCACAGGGCACAAGGCAGGAUUACCCAUGAGCCUUCUGCUAUGAUUAGUAACAUGAUCAAUACCACUUGCUGGGUGCCAUCUCUCUUCCCAAGUGUGCUGAGUGCUUUGUCCAAGUGAAUGCCAAUUCUCUUGCCCAUUCCGUUCCAUUGGACACUGAGGUGGAGCGGGGAUAACAGAGACAUCCCCAAGUCUAAGAACCAGAAGACGAUGGCUAACUAACCCGGAGGGAGCCCUCUACCUGUACCAUCUGUGGCUGCAUGGGUCAAAGAGGAUUCAGAUUCAGCUGGGAGUGGGUCAGGGGAAAAACUAUAAGGACAGGUAGGUGUGGGUGGACCUGUGGUUGACACUGUAAGGAAAUCAGGAGCUGCUACUAGGAAGGGGGUGUGGUGUGUGGUGAUAUGAUAAGAAUGUCAGAUUUGGGUGGGCAAGGAUCUGAAUCUGAAAUGUUUUCGAUAUGAAGGAGUAGAAGAAGAGGAAGAAGAGGAGGAAGAGGAAGAAGAGGAAGAAGAAGAAGAAGAGGAGGAAGAAGAAGAGGAGGAAGAGGAGGAAGAAGAGGAGGAAGAGGAGGAAGAAGAGGAGGAGGAAGAAGAGGAAGAAGAGGAGGAAGAAGAAGAGGAGGAGGAGGAAGAGGAGGAGGAGGAGGAGUAUGAUGCAAAACAUGAAGGGUUGCUCCAGCAUAACUCCAGGAUACACUGAGCCAGGGUUUAGGUCUUAUACCAUUAUACUGCUUGGCCACUUUAUGCUAGAGUCUCCUAAGAGCAAAAGGACAGUCUGAGAGACCCUUUUGUGGUACCUGCCUCCAGGAGGUCAUGUCACAGGGCUAGUUGAACUAGGCUGAUUCACACAGUGACUUGGUACCGAUACAUACAACCAGGGCGUUAACAAAGAUGAAGACGAGUGAAGGGGAAGAGGGGGAGGCCCUGGUACCUGAUGGGAGCGGCAUUUCAUCCCACGCAGGGCAGGGACUAAGAGUGCUCCCUUGAACCUGAAUGGGCUGCCUGUGCUUUACUGGGCAAGAAGGGAGAUAGGGGUGCGUGCGUUUGUGUUUUCUCAGGGGGAACCCCAAGGUGAUGCAGAGUCCAAAGUGGAAAGUGUGAGACCAGUUCAGGCAACAGAAGCAGUCAAUAGUGAGAAAGGAGGGAUAAGAAAAUAAUCCACUCUUGGUGUCUAAGACAUGUGGACACCAACGUAGUCCUCUGCCCAGGCCACACUGAUCACAGCACCAUGCCCAGUCCCUCUGCCGGGGAGAUCCACUCUUGAAGAAGUCAUAUAUGACAGCCUGACAUGGGAAAGGGAGAGGACAGAUACUGACUAGGCACAGGCAGUUAAAACUCUUAACUUUUUAGUGUGGGCUGCUUAAAACUCUGCUCACACUUUUGCAUAAAUUAUUAUGUAUGGAAAGAGUUGAGCAAACCAAAGGCAAUGAGAGCUGACCUGUAAACCCAGCACUCUGGAUGCAAAGGCCAGAUGCCAGCCCGGGGCCACACCAAAUGUAUCAAAAAUAUGAGGGGAUGGGGGCGGGAUGUAGCAAAUUCUGACCUUAAAGAGUUACAAAUAUGUAACAUGUUUACUCCACAGGAACCAGUUUGUUUCCUUUUGCAUUCCAGACCCAAUGUGCACAGUCCUACGCUAUCCAGUCCAUAUUUGACUGCCAAACUGGACGACCACUUGGAAGGAUGGAUCUUCCACACCAUCUUGACUUGGGUAUGGCUACAUCCAACAUAGUGCUUUCCUACCACCUUCUUGUCUGCUAACCCUACCACAUCCACCAUCGAGGAUGGAUCCAGCAAGCACGUCACUGCUCAAGACAGAACCCACAUCACCCUCGAUCCUUUCUUCUCCAUGCCUGUCACUCCGCUGCUGUCGUUGACCAAACCUUACUGGCUUCUCCCUCCUUAAGCCCACUCGUGCUUCUCUCCUCCCUGCUUUCUCUGCACACAUAUGGACUCAGGAGCUCGUCAGUUCAUCAGUUCUCAUCUGGGGGGUCCAGAUAUCCACCCUGACUCUUGGUCCCCUUCCUCAGAGCCAGCUCCAAAGAGGAAAGUCCUACUUUCCACUGUUCUGCUCCUGAUGCCUUCCAUGGCUCCCUGUGGCUGGACUGCAUGUCUGUAGAGUGCAUACGUUUUCUGACAGCGUGCAUUCUUUAGCAGACAUGGUCCAGUCCGGGCUCCCUUGGACACAGACUUCUGACUGUUCUGGUGAAUGGAGUGGUUACUUUUGAAUUGCACACACACUGGGGAAAUCCUGAUCCUGGGGAAACUCAGAAAGUGCCGAUAUAUGGGGAAGAAGGUUGAGAAGGUUCGCCACGUCAGUUUGAAGCUGCAGGUGGGAAGUUUAGACCGGACUGUCAGGUCACCAAGGGUUCUUAAGGACACAUGUAACCAGAGAUGACUGGAUUUCUAAGAGGUCAGUGUUGUCGCCUGUUUAAACUGUCUCUGCACCUAAUGGCCUUCCUGUGGAGCUAGGCUCUCAUAUGACAUUUCAGUGUUGAAAAGAGUUAGUCAUUUCCAUAUGACCAAGAUGUAAAAGAAAUGGCAAGGUCAGACGGUAACCUCCCACUGGAGGACGGUCCUCCGACGGACACAAAAUUCCUGCCAUUCUACGAGGAAAACAAGAAAGAGGUUCUUCAGAUGAAAUGCCACCCAGGCCCUCUCGCCAAAUGAUGAGUUUUGAAGAAUCGGGACCUGUGAAAUCUCUCUUGGUUGGUUUUCGGGAUCCAAAUGCUAAAGGAACCUGGGCAGGUGACAGGUGCAGCAGGGCUGUCUGUAGGACAGAAGAACUUGAAACUUCAGCACGCUGUGGCGCUGUUUGGAUGGAUAAAAUGUUGGAAGCCAGAGUGGCUUUACACGGGCUGUGAUUUCUGUUGACAGGAUGCAUCCGCUCGUUCUUUCAACCUAAGCAAAAUUCCCAGGACUGAGAUGGAUUUGAAAGUCAGGUGGACAGGGGGACCAUCUGUGGGUGAGAGAAUGCUUAGAGUCAUCAAAAGAAAUCAUGGAAAAGUAUAUGACUCCUGCAGACGCACAGCAGCAUCCGCAGUCCUACCCCUGGUGACCUCAAGCAGAGGUAGAAGAAAUAAAUCAAAGUGAUGAUGUUGAUUCAAUAAUUCUUAAUUUCAUUGCCCCAAAAUAAACAAAACAUUCUCAAAUCACUAAA